UUGGCUCAGGAUGAACGCUGGCGGCGUGCUUAACACAUGCAAGUCGAACGAAGCAACUUAUUACGAUCUUUUCGGAGUGACGAUUUGUUGACUGAGUGGCGGACGGGUGAGUAACGCGUGGGUAACCUGCCUCGUACAGGGGGACAACAGUUGGAAACGGCUGCCUAUACCGCAUAAGCGCACAGUGCCGCAUGGUACAGUGUGAAAAACUCCGGUGGUACGAGAUGGCCUCGCGUCUGAUUAGCUAGUUGGUGGGGCAAUGGCCCACCAAGGCGACGAUCAGUAGCCGGACUGAGAGGUUGGCCGGCCACAUUGGGACUGAGACACGGCCCAGACUCCUACGGGAGGCAGCAGUGGGGAAUA
rnacentral:rRNA from 1 species